rnacentral:rRNA from 1 species
CCCUUAGAUGUUCUGGGCCGCACGCGCGCUACACUGACUGCUCCAACAAGUUACCUGGGCUGACAAGCAUCCGGGAAAUCUUGCAAAGGCAGUCGUGAUGGGGAUAGAUUCUUGUAAUUUUUGAUCUUCAACGAGGAAUUCCUAGUAAACGCAAGUCAUCAGCUUGCAUUGAUUACGUCCCUGCCCUUUGUACACACCGCCCGUCGCAUCUACCGAUUGAAUGGAGAGGCAAAAUCUUCGGACCGUGACGCUUGGGAGUCAAAUCUCAGGCUGUCGUGGGAAGUGGAUUAAACCUUUCUAUUUAGAGGAAGGUAAAGUCGUAACA